CUCAGAGUGAACGCUGGCGGCAGGCCUAACACAUGCAAGUCGAACGGCAGCACAGCAGUAGCAAUACUGUGGGUGGCGAGUGGCGGACGGGUGAGGAAUACAUGGGAAUCUGCCCUGUCGUGGGGGAUAACGUAGGGAAACUUACGCUAAUACCGCAUACGACCGGAAGGUGAAAGCGGCGGACCGCAAGGCGUCGCGCGACUGGAUGAGCCCAUGUCGGAUUAGCUAGUUGGCGGGGUAAAGGCCCACCAAGGCGACGAUCCGUAGCUGGUCUGAGAGGAUGAUCAGCCACACUGGAACUGAGACACGGUCCAGACUCCUACGGGAGGCAGCAGUGGGGAAUAUUGGACAAUGGGCGCAAGCCUGAUCCAGCCAUGCCGCGUGAGUGAAGAAGGCCUUCGGGUUGUAAAGCUCUUUUGUCCGGAAAGAAAAGCUCUCGGUUAAUACCCGGGGGUUCUGACGGUACCGGAAGAAUAAGCACCGGCUAACUUCGUGCCAGCAGCCGCGGUAAUACGAAGGGUGCAAGCGUUACUCGGAAUUACUGGGCGUAAAGCGUGCGUAGGUGGUUCGUUAAGUCUGAUGUGAAAGCCCUGGGCUCAACCUGGGAAUGGCAUUGGAUACUGGCGAUCUAGAGUGCGGUAGAGGGCAGUGGAAUUCCCGGUGUAGCAGUGAAAUGCGUAGAGAUCGGGAGGAACAUCUGUGGCGAAGGCGACUGCCUGGACCAGCACUGACACUAGC
rnacentral:rRNA from 1 species